rnacentral:rRNA from 1 species
AGCAGUAGCCGCGGUAAUACGGAGGAUCCAAGCGUUAUCCGGAAUCAUUGGGUUUAAAGGGUCCGUAGGCGGUCUUGUAAGUCAGUGGUGAAAGCCCAUCGCUCAACGGUGGAACGGCCAUUGAUACUGCAGGACUUGAAUUAUUGGGAAGUAACUAGAAUAUGUAGUGUAGCGGUGAAAUGCUUAGAGAUUACAUGGAAUACCAAUUGCGAAGGCAGGUUACUACCAAUUGAUUGACGCUGAUGGACGAAAGCGUGGGUAGCGAACAGGAUUAGAUACCCCAGUAGUCCCUGUCUCUUAUAU